AACUUGAGUGCCCAAGAGAAAAGCGGAUUUCCGCGUGUAGCGGUGAAAUGCGUAGAGAUGUGGAGGAACACCAGUGGCGAAGGCGGCUUUUUGGUCUGUAACUGACGCUGAGGCGCGAAAGCGUGGGGAGCAAACAGGAUUAGAUACCCUGGUAGUCCACGCCGUAAACGAUGAGUGCUAAGUGUUAGAGGGUUUCCGCCCCUUAUUGCUGCAGCUAACGCAUUAAGCACUCCGCCUGGGGAGUACGGUCGCAAGACUGAAACUCAAAGGAAUUGACGGGGGCCCGCACAAGCGGUGGAGCAUGUGGUUUAAUUCUAAGCAACGCGAAGAACCUUACCAGGUCUUGACAUCCUCUGAGGGGGGGGG
rnacentral:rRNA from 2 species